rnacentral:rRNA from 1 species
UUUAUGGAGAGUUUGAUCCUGGCUCAGGAUGAACGCUGGCGGCGUGCCUAAUACAUGCAAGUCGAGCGAACAGAUAAGGAGCUUGCUCCUUUGACGUUAGCGGCGGACGGGUGAGUAACACGUGGGUAACCUACCUAUAAGACUGGAAUAACUCCGGGAAACCGGAGCUAAUGCCGGAUAACAUGUUGAACCGCAUGGUUCUACAGUGAAAGACGGUCUUGCUGUCACUUAUAGAUGGACCCGCGCCGUAUUAGCUAGUUGGUGGGGUAACGGC